rnacentral:rRNA from 1 species
GAGUUUGAUCAUGGCUCAGAAUGAACGUUGGCGGCGUGGAUUAGGCAUGCAAGUCGAGCGAGAACCCCGCAAGGGGGGACAGCGGCAAACGGGGUAGUAAUGUGUCGGAACGUGCCCUGAGGUCGGGGAUAGCGGCGGGAAACUGCCGGUAAUACCCGAUGAUCUCGAGAGAGCAAAGGUGUGAUUCCGCCUUUGGAGCGGCCGACAUGGUAUUAGCUAGUUGGCGGGGUAACGGCCCACCAAGGCUGUGAUGCCUAGGGGAUGUGAGAGCAUGAUCCCCACCAUUGGGACUGAGACACUGCCCAGACACCUACGGGUGGCUGCAGUCGAGAAUCUUCGUCAAUGGGCGAAAGCCUGAACGAGCGACGCCGCGUGCGGGAUGAAGGCCUUUGGGUUGUAAACCGCUGUCGAGGGGAUGAAGGCUUGAAAGUCAUCUUUCAAGUUUGACAGAGCCCUGGAGGAAGCACGGGCUAAGUUCGUGCCAGCCGCCGCCGUAAC